UUCUUAAGGUUAUUUAUAUGGUUGGUGUAUUACAUUAAUUUGUGUAUAUUGAGCCAAGCCCUUCAUCUCUGAGAUAAAGCUAAUAUAUCUGCUAAAUCCAUUUGAGCAGUAGUAGAGCUUAAAGUUUCCUUGUAGAUUUUUAAUUUUAAUGACCUGUGUAGAGAUGAGAACUGACAAUAGAAUCUCCCACUAUGUUGCACUUACACCCAUAUGACUUUUAAAUGCCUGUUCAUGUCUGUAUGAAGUCAUGAGCCACAGUGCUUGCUGCAUAUUUAUUCACAGUAGUUAUAACUGCAGUUCAGUUGUUCCCUUUAUUACAAUAUGCUGACCUUUUUGUUUGUUCUAAUUUGAUUUCAGAUUAUCAGCUAUCAAAAUACUUUGCCUUAUAUGUAGUUUCCAUUUGUUUGGUAGGCUGACUUCUGUCUUUUGACUCUCAGUGUGGGUAUCCUCCAGAGAGAUGCUUCUCAGAAACAUUAGUUUGAGGUCAUUUGUUCCUAGAAACUGUGUACUAAUCACUAUAAUUCUGUUGCUUAGACUUCUGUUCUUUUCCCUCCUGCCAGAGGUUUUCUGGUGUAUUCCAUCAGACAUGAUGGAUUCCUUCUGAGCUCUCCUCUGUUGUCUGCUUCUCUGUGAAAGUCUUACUCCCUUAUUCUCUAAUGAUUGAGAGUGUUUUUGCAUCUUCCUCUGUGUAUAAUAUUCCUUUAACUAUCUUCUGGAAUGCCAAAUUGGUGGUCAUGAACUGCCUUAAUUUGUGCUUAUCUUCAAAUAUUUGUAUUUCUUUAUCAGUUUUCAAAGAUAAUGCUGCCGAGUGUAGCAACUGGGUCAGCACACUUGAACUAUAUCAUUCCAUGUUUCCUGACUUGAAGUGACUGAUGAGAGGCCUGAUGUUAUUCUGAUAGUUAUGUCUCUGUAGGUGUUUCCCUCUUAGAGCUUUUAACCUGGUUUCUUUGUAUUCCUGUUUUCCUGGCUUUUAUGUGCCAUGGAAACAUUGUUAUCUGCUCAUGUCUGCUUGGCAUUGUGUGCCAUGGAGACAUUGUUAUCCGCUCAUGUCUGUUUGGCAUUCUGCAUGAGCUUUUGUGUUUUGAUGUCCAUUUCAUUCUCUAGAUCUGUGAAAUUUCCUGCUAUGGUUUUCUGGACUGCAUGCCUGCCAUUCUUACCUGAGUCUCUACCCACGGUUCUUAGGUUGGAUUGCAGAGUUCUUGGGCUUUAAGGUCAAACCCCUUCAUUGUUUUCUUUAUGGGUAUUGGAAUGCAAGGUUUGUCUGUUGUGCCCUCCAGCCCUGAAACUCUUUCUUCCUCUUGGUCACAUUUCUUGGCAAUGCUUUCCGCUGUUUUUUUAUUUGAUUCAUUGAGUUCAUUUCCACGUUUCUUUUUUCAAAACCUCAAUUUCAUUGUUGAUUUUCCCCCCUUACCCAUAUUUUUCAUUUAUAUUACUGAGUUUCCUCUCUCUCUCUCUCUCUCUCUCUCUCUCUCUCUCUCUCUCUCUCUCUCUCGUGUGUGUGUGUGUGUGUGUGUGUGUGUGUGCACUCUAGCCCACCCCUCUCUCCCUCCCAUCCCUGUGAGCUUCCCCUACAUGCCCAUUUCCCACAUUCUUGUCUUGGUUUAGAGAUCUGUGUUCCUAAAUACUGAAGAGACACAUUUCUUUUUGUUAAAGCCAGAACUCUCAUUUGAAAAUAUUUUCAAUUAGUAAUCAUAUAGAUUUGAAAAAAUACUUUGGUUUAUCUUUAAUGGCAUAUAAAACAAAAUACAGUAAUCCUGUGACCAUGAAGGGAAGGUGGUUAGGAAUGUGGGCAUGCAAUCUGGGAGGUAAUGAAGCGUGUUCAUCCUUUCAUCGAGUCUAGGAUGCAUAUAUUCAUGUGUCUGUGGGACAAUUAAAAGAUAAUAAAGACAAUACUGAUAUUCUAUCUUUUCUAUAAAUGUUUAGUGCCAUAAAACCAUCACAGCUUUUUUAUUUUUCUACAUGUAAUUGUUUUGAAGUAUAUACUUAGGUAACUAUUUAAUUUUACCAUUUAUUCAAGAUUCUUACUGGAAGAAUCUAACAAAUUUCUUUAUAGAUUUUAUUUCCCAAAUUGUAUUGCUGGUAAAUUGUUACAGCAGCUGUAGUUAAGUCCUCAAGUGCGAGAAUAUCUGUAUUGCCUUCAUGCUGUAAAACUCCAGAUAACACCGGGUGACAGACUAGAAAGGAAAUAAAUGUAAUUCCCAGAACUACUAGUGAGGCGCUAAGGAUGCAUUAACUCUUGGAAAGACAGCUCCCGUCUGCUGGGUGUGAGAAGGAAGUGUCUCCCUAUAAAGCCAACCAGAUGAGAUAUGGUGAGGGCUAGAUUUACCUCAGCUUUCUAGCCUUGUGACCAUAAAAUCUUUGAAAGUAGAAUAACUUGCAUUUGACUUAAACAUAGACUUUGAGGGAUACAUUUCUAGACUUGAAGCCAAUAUGGUUGUGAACUGAGGCUGUUUCUGUAGAGGCAUGUUGUCUUGACAUACAUAGAGAUGCUUUACCACAGUCUCGCUCAGCCACAGGGCUCCUUGUCUUUAGUGUACUGCGUCUGCACGUCCUUGCAUGUUGCUCUUUAGCCUUUGACCCACACUCUGCUUACUUGUUUCCUCUUCCUAGGUCUGUAAGGUCAUGAAUGACACACUAGCAGAGAACAGGGUUUAAAAUGUAGAAAUCAUGGGUUUGGCCACUGCCUCUCCUCAGCUCUGUCAAGGCCUGGGAGAUCUCUGAACUCUGGGCCUGCCUGAGUGUUUUAGGAGGAGCAUCACCGCUCCCAUGUUUGAGACAUGGUGCUGCCAUUGCUCACCAAAUAACCAUUAGCCAUUGCCUUUCCUCAUCACCCAUGAGGAAACGGGACCUGGAGCAGGGCUGACAGUUUUAUAAGGUCAUGUAGCAAGUUCAUCUGGGGUUUAGAGCUUCUGCCUGAGCCCCUGAGCCUUAGGACAACCUGUAUUCUACCUUCGUAACCUUUCCUCAUAAGUUUGCUGACUGGAAUUUUUGCUUUCUUAACUCUUGUUCACAGUUUAUCUUUGAGGAAAUGUAUGGGUUUUUUUUUCUGGUUUUUAUCCUUAGCCAGGAGAGUGAUGUUUCCUCCUUUGCUGAUAAGCAGUAAGCAAUAAGCCAGACUCCAGGUCUGAGGAAGUACAGUUGUAGAAGCUGAAGGUUACCCUAUGGGUGGGCCAGUUCUUUGCACUAGAUUUUAAAUGUUUACUCUUUCCUGCAUUAGUGCUUAAAUAUGAAAAACAUCAAAGUUCAAAGGGUAAAUAAUAUGUUUCACUUGAAUUUUUCUAAUAAAAUAUUUUGGUGUAUGUGUACCCAUGUAAAGAUGUGUAGAGUUUGGGUCUAGCUCACUGGGUGGAGUCUUUGCUUGCCCUGCUUAAAACUCUGGGUUCAGUUGCUGGCACCGCAUAGGCCAGGCUGAGGGGCAUAAACCUGUAAUCCCAGGCCACAGGAAACCCGUCAGAAAAAGCUGAAGCCUCUCCUCUUACAUAAGGGAUCUGAGGCCACCCUGGGUUAGAGAGCCUGUCUCAAAAAAGG
rnacentral:lncRNA from 1 species